rnacentral:rRNA from 1 species
UUGAGCUUAAAAAGCUCGUAGUUGGAUUUCUGUGGGGACGGAGCGGCCGGCCGCUACUAGCGGUUCGAGCUAGCGCUUUCCCUACAUCCUGCCGCGAACCGUGCUACCAUUAGUUUGGUGGCGCCGGGGAUCAGCUCGUUUACUUUGAGAAAAAUAGAGUGUUCAAAGCAGGCCACACGCCUUGAAUAAGUUAGCAUGGAAUAAUAACUAAGGACU